AGUGAACGCUGGCGGUAUGCCUAACACAUGCAAGUCGAACGGCAGCACACUAAGAGCUUGCUCUUACGGGUGGCGAGUGGCGGACGGGUGAGGAAUACAACGGAAUCUACAUUUUCGUGGGGGUUAACGUAGGGAAACCUACGCUAAUAUCGCAUACGACCUUCGGGUGAAAGCAGUGGAUCUUCGGACCUUUCGCGAUUGAAUGAGCCGCUGUCGGAUUAGUUAGUUGGCGGGGUAAAGGCCCACCAGGGCGACGAUCCGUAGCCGGGGUGAGUGACUGAUCAGCCACAGUGGAACUGAGACACGGUCCAGGGUCCGAGGGGAGGCAGAGGUGGGGAAUAGUGGAAGAUGGGCGGAAGACUGAUCCAGCCGUGCCGCGCUGGUGAAGAAGGCCUUCGGGUGGUAAAACCCUUUUGUGGGGAAAGAAAGGCAGCAGGUUAAAACAACGCUGUUCUGACGGUACCCAAAGAGUAGGCACCGGCUAACUUCGU
rnacentral:rRNA from 1 species